rnacentral:piRNA from 1 species
GGCCAAACCAGCAAGCAUUGCCAGGGC